UGGGGAAUCUUGGACAAUGGGCGCAAGCCUGAUCCAGCCAUGCCGCGUGAGUGAUGAAGGCCUUAGGGUCGUAAAGCUCUUUCGCCAGAGAUGAUAAUGACAGUAUCUGGUAAAGAAACCCCGGCUAACUCCGUGCCAGCAGCCGCGGUAAUACGGAGGGGGUUAGCGUUGUUCGGAAUUACUGGGCGUAAAGCGCACGUAGGCGGAUUAGACAGUCAGGGGUGAAAUCCCAGGGCUCAACCCUGGAACUGCCUCUCUGAAACUGCUAGUCUAGAGUUCGAGAGAGGUGAGUGGAAUUCCGAGUGUAGAGGUGAAAUUCGUAGAUAUUCGGAGGAACACCAGUGGCGAAGGCGGCUCACUGGCUCGAUACUGACGCUGAGGUGCGAAAGUGUGGGGAGCAAACAGGAUUAGAUACCCUGGUAGUCCACACCGUAAACGAUGAAUGCCAGUCGUCGGGUAGUAUACUAUUCGGUGACACACCUAACGGAUUAAGCAUUCCGCCUGGGGAGUACGGUCGCAAGAUUA
rnacentral:rRNA from 1 species